rnacentral:lncRNA from 1 species
CCCCGAAGCGUGUAAGGCUCAUAGCAGGGAACGAGAGAAGCAGUGAAUGAGUCUAGUUCCCCCCCCGCUUCGGGAACGGCACUUAGAGGGAGAGCAGGGCGCUUGGCUGGGGCUGCUCGUUCGGGUUCUGCCUGUUGUUGCGCGAAAUGGCGGCUGGCGUCUUGGUGGGUUUGGUUGUCGGUUUUUUUGUGCAGGUUUUUUUUUUUUUUCCCUCUCUUCCCCUCCUAUUCCCCUCCCCCCACUUCUGCCUUGGCCGCGUCUCCGCAGCGAACCGCGGCGGAGACUGAGUCAGGAGGGGGGAGGGAGCUUGGCGAAAGCCAAUAGCCAGGCUGGCUGGACUGCCCGGCGCGCUCUGAUUGGCUGGUGCUGACAUCAUCCUGCAGCAGGGGCAGCCGCAGCUGGGCAGGGUUGGGGAGCUGCCGGGGGAGGCUGGUGCAAAGGGAGAAAACGGGCGCCAUGAUCCCAGCGCGAGGGAGGACUUCACGGGCAGGGCGUCCCUGAAGACCUCGUGAAAAGGAAAGCAGGAAGAGGCCGUGGCUUCCCCUUCCCAAAUAACGCUGGGGCUGUGAGGAGAGGAGCGGGGAAAGAGCGACAGAGGAGCAACGUGCGCCUGCAUUUGUAACUGCGUCAGUACAAGAUGGCGCAGGGUCUCCCUGGAGAGGGAAGGGAGUUGCACGUCCGCCGGAGGUCAUGUGACCGCGUUGCAUUCUUGCGGGGUUUGGCUGCAGACCAAGCUGGCUGAGGCGGCGGCGGCUGCUGCCGCCCGGGAGAGUCCGUGCUUCCCUUCCCCUCCCCCUUUCUGCACAAUACGGUCGUUGCCGCGUUGAUUCCCUCUUCCCUUCCCCCAUUAACCUUAUGCACGAGGGUGUAGCUGCUGCUGAGGAAGGUUCUCGCUUCUCUCCUCUUUCUCCACCCCUCUCCAGUGUGUAGCAAGCUGCUGGGGGGGGGGGGGGGACGUUCCUUUUCCCGCAAGGCUUUACCCACUGCGAGGGAAAGUUUCCUCUGGGCGCCUGCUCGCUGCGGCCGAGUGUGGAGGCAGGCGCUGCGCGGCUCCCGCACACGGCCUUUUCGGCUGCCGGUUUCACUAACGUAAAUCCCACUUCAGUUUUCUCUCUCGGCUUCCCCCUUCUCGUGUAUAAGAGCACUUAUUUAUAUGCAAGUUGGGUUCCUCGCGCUAUUUUCCUGAAAGAUGCAGUUUAAGCGAUGUUUAAAAGAUCUCAUUAAAACAGCUGAGGAAAAUGUACGGACUGUAUGUGGAGUUGUUCUUCUGAGUGGGGCGUUGUUGUAUUUUAAGUGUUACUUUGCCGGGGGUGCACAGAGGGGGGGAAGAAACUAAGGAAAAAGCUGAAAGCUGUUAACGUUUUUUUCUA